ensembl:lncRNA
GUGCAUAAAUGCAAAACGAUAUACAAUUUCUUAUCUUCAAACUACUGCAGGCUGGUUUUACUGUCAGGAGUUACAGAGACGGUGGCUGCCAAAUUAGCUGAGACCACGCUGAGCCUGCCCAGAUGUUGCUCAACCCUGAGCUGUCCCCCUGAGUCCAAGCCUGCAGGAGAGGGCGCGCAGCGAGGAUUUCCGGCCGCCUCCUCAGGCUCCCUGAACAGAUGGAGCCUCUUCAGGUGGCCACAGGGCUCCCGGGCCUCGAGCCUGUGCCCAGGGGCGUGCCAGCGAAAGCUGCAGAAAAAACUAUCACCUGCCUCUCUCGGCCCAGAGAGAAACCUUGCACCGCCCGCACAGACCUGGCUAGGAGGCUAGGUGUGGGGCUCUAAUCUCAUCCUCACACCUGCGUUAGGGAGGAAGGCCAGGGCUCUCCAGGUGUGUGGGUCCCUGGAGGAUGAAAGGAGCUGUUAAGAGGCGUGCACAGGAGCGCAGCGGGGGACGCGCUGUGGUCGCCGAGCGUGGGAGGACCCAGACGCCUGGGCAGAGGCCUGAGGGGAUGGAAGCACUGACUGGCUUGGAGAUUGGAGAUUUCCCUUUACUUUUUUCCUUUUCCUUGUAGGGCGGUUAGCCAAUGGCUGCGGUAGCUUUCCACUCAGCCAGGCGACUUUUACACAAUUCUGCCCGGGCGCACUGAGCUCGCCGGGCACCUGGCGCCGGGAACAUGGGGUCGAAACCGCCGCCCCCACCCACUCCAGACGUCCAGGCCUCUCCCUUCACGCUCUCCCGGUCUUCUGGCGCUGCCUCGCCGUCUGGGGCUUGGGAUUCCUUAACCUAGGGCUUCCCUGUCUUGGGCAGGAGUUAGAAGCCCUCCCUCUCUCCCCUCCUCCACUCACCGCCAGCCUGAUUUUUAAUCUAAUCUUUUAUUUAAAGUCAACAGAAAAGCAGGAAUCCCGGGCUCCUGCCACCAAGAUAUUUUAAAAUAAUUCCCCAACCUCUGCUGAGACUGGCAGCCUUAAAGAACCUCCUUGUUUUCUCCUUCGUGAAGAUUUAGGCUGCGGAGAACCGGGGAGGGAUGGGAGG